rnacentral:tRNA from 1 species
GAUUUUUAAAAGACUUAUUUAACCUAUUUGUGAUUUUAAAAAACACAAAUAAAAAAGACUAAAAUCU